rnacentral:rRNA from 1 species
GAUGAACGCUGGCGGCGUGCCUAAUACAUGCAAGUCGAGCGAACGGACGAGAAGCUUGCUUCUCUGAUGUUAGCGGCGGACGGGUGAGUAACACGUGGAUAACCUACCUAUAAGACUGGGAUAACUUCGGGAAACCGGAGCUAAUACCGGAUAAUAUUUUGAACCGCAUGGUUCAAAAGUGAAAGACGGUCUUGCUGUCACUUAUAGAUGGAUCCGCGCUGCGUUAGCUAGUUGGCAAGGUAACGGCUUACCAAGGCAACGAUGCAUAGCCGACCUGAGAGGGUGAUCGGCCACACUGGAACUGAGACACGGUCCAGACUCCUACGGGAGGCAGCAGUAGGGAAUCUUCCGCAAUGGGCGAAAGCCUGACGGAGCAACGCCGCGUGAGUGAUGAAGGUCUUCGGAUCGUAAAACUCUGUUAUUAGGGAAGAACAUAUGUGUAAGUAACUGUGCACAUCUUGUCGGUACCUAAUCAGAAAGCCACGGCUAACUACGUG